GAUGACGCUGGCGGCGUGCCUAAUACAUGCAAGUCGAGCGAGCGGCGGACGGGUGAGUAAUGUAUGGGGAUCUGCCCGAUGGAGGGGGAUCACUACUGGAAACGGUGGCUAAUACCGCAUACUAUCGGAUGAACCCAUAUGGGAUUAGCUAGUAGGUGGGGUAAAGGCUCACCUAGGCGACGAUCUCUAGCUGGUCUGAGAGGAUGAUCAGCCACACUGGGACUGAGACACGGCCCAGACUCCUACGGGAGGCAGCAGUGGGGAAUAUUGCACAAUGGGCGCAAGCCUGAUGCAGCCAUGCCGCGUGUAUGAAGAAGGCCUUAGGGUUGUAAAGUACUUUCAGCGGGGAGGCGUUACCCGCAGAAGAAGCACCGGCUAACUCCGUGCCAGCAGCCGCGGUAAUAC
rnacentral:rRNA from 1 species